rnacentral:misc_RNA from 1 species
GCGCCUCGACGCACCUUCGAACGAAAAGCACCCCCUCCUCCUCCACCUCCCUCUCCCGUCCCCCUCUCUUCUCUCCACAUCACUGAGGACACGUGAAUGGCAGGGCGUUCGGGCUGGUGCGAGAGUUCUAUGCGGCGCUUAAGCGCAUUCGGCGGCCUUACUACCAUACCGGCACGACCCUUCCUGGGCAGUCGAUGCAGCGCUGUAGUCGCGCGUGGAAAAAGGCCGCUGAAGCUGCCUUCCGGCCACACUUACACCGGGAAGAUUGCCGCAUAUGCAGCGCUGCAACGCCGGCGCUAAAGGACGCGACGUAUGUUGGCUCGGUGACCUCAAGUUGCACCAUUAUCCCGGGCCACAAAGUUGGGUCGUCGGCUUCAGGCUCCCAAAGGCCGCAGACCCCGACCCGCCAAGACGCCUCCUGGCUUGCUGGCAACGCGCCUUCCUCAGUGUUUGAAGUACGGCGUGCUGCGCUGCUAGAAUGGUUGCACCGAUUCUCGGAGCGAGAGCAAAAAGGGGGUGUGCCUGGCGUGGAGGUCCCUCUUUCGGAGGAAAAGCCAGAAGAGCUCGACAGCAGCGUCGACCUCGACACUGCAUACACGGCGUACUUGCGAUGCGAAGAUGCCACUGCACAAGAAGCCCUCUUCGCCCGUUUGGUGGAUUGGGUGGACGCUCAAUGCGCCCAGCCUGUCGUACCAUCUGGUGCGUCGCCGACGUCGACUUCCGCUGCGCCGGCUAACUCUGCGGCGGCGGCAGCGGAAGACAGGCAGUGGGGUGGUGUUCGCAUCCCACAGUGCUUGGCGGUUCCUCGUGUGGCGGCAGCUAUGACGUCGAAGGAGCGGAAAGCGACUGCGACGCUCAUGGGCGAGAAGACCGACGGCGUCCGCGCUGCGAACGACUUCGAGACGUACGUGCGGCGGCGCUUCCCCGACAAUGCUGCCUUUAUCACCAAGCAACUGGCCUUUCAAAAAGCGCUGCUAGCGGCGCAGGAGGUUCUGACUGCGCAAAAGAUUCGGUUCUUCCUCGCCUGUGGCACGGCCCUGGGUGCGCGGCGUGACGGCUGCUUUAUCCCGUAUGAUGAGGACAUUGACCUUGGCAUCCUCUACGCCGAUAUCGCGGUGCCUGUAACGGAGGGCGAUGAUCGGCCAGUGCCCAAUCUCUCUUUUCCCUCUGCCGCCCCAGCCGGCUUGAGCUAUGCGCAGAUGCGUGUGUACCGACUCCUUCACGCGCUGGCAUCAACGCGCGCGUUCGUGGUUUUUGACAUUUGCGGCGCCGUUGAGAAAGGAUUGGAGCUGCGCGUGCUGCACCUGGCCACCAGCGCUCGUAUCGACAUCAAUCUCUACUACCCACCUCUGUGCACCACCGACUGCGGCGGAGACGGUGACGCCGGCGACGAUGCGCUAGUGCGCGAGAAGGGCCCUUUUGUGUGGGCCGCCUCUUUUUACGAGGCAGCCGGUGCGCGCAAGCACCGCAUGUAUCGCUAUCGGCACAAGCCCUUCGCCGCAGAGCUCGAGGAACUUCCGUUUUGUGCUAAGACGGCGUCUGUAUGCAGGGGGUUUUUGGUGCCCCCAGAGCGCUAUCUUGUGGAGAACUACGGAGAGGACUGGCGGACACCGAAACAGUACUCGUACACAGAGGGCCUUGCGGGGGAGUUCAAGAACAUCGUGAAGGAGUAGCGUCGCCCGCCACGCGGGGUGGCAUGGUACACUUUGUGUGCUUGCUUCUUUCGACUAAGCGUGACUCUUGUGUCGGGUACGUGCGUAUGUGCCUAUUGGAGAGUUCGUUGGCGCCGGUGGUUUUCCGUGGUUUGCGCCAUGCGAUGCCUUUUCUCGCAAC